rnacentral:rRNA from 1 species
AUUGAACGCUGGCGGCAUGCCUUACACAUGCAAGUCGAACGGUAACGCGGGGCAACCUGGCGACGAGUGGCGAACGGGUGAGUAAUGCAUCGGAACGUGCCCAGUAGUUGGGGAUAGCCCGGCGAAAGCCGGAUUAAUACCGCAUACGACCUACGGGUGAAAGCGGGGGACCGUAAGGCCUCGCGCUAUUGGAGCGGCCGAUGUCAGAUUAGGUUGUUGGUGGGGUAAAAGCCUACCAAGCCGACGAUCUGUAGCUGGUCUGAGAGGACGACCAGCCACACUGGGACUGAGACACGGCCCAGACUCCUACGGGAGGCAGCAGUGGGGAAUUUUGGACAAUGGGGGCAACCCUGAUCCAGCCAUGCCGCGUGCGGGAAGAAGGCCUUCGGGUUGUAAACCGCUUUUGUCAGGGAAGAAACGCUCUGGGCUAAUACCCCGGGGUAAUGACGGUACCUGAAGAAUAAGCACCGGCUAACUACGUGCCAGCAGCCGCCGCCGUAA